rnacentral:rRNA from 1 species
UGCAAGUCGAGCGGAAACGAGAAGUAGCUUGCUACUUCGGCGUCGAGCGGCGGACGGGUGAGUAAUGCCUAGGAAGUUGCCCAGUAGAGGGGGAUAACCAUUGGAAACGAUGGCUAAUACCGCAUAAUCUCUUUGGAGCAAAGCAGGGGACCUUCGGGCCUUGUGCUAUUGGAUACGCCUAGGUGGGAUUAGCUAGUUGGUGAGGUAAUGGCUCACCAAGGCGACGAUCCCUAGCUGGUCUGAGAGGAUGAUCAGCCACACUGGAACUGAGACACGGUCCAGACUCCUACGGGAGGCAGCAGUGGGGAAUAUUGCACAAUGGGCGAAAGCCUGAUGCAGCCAUGCCGCGUGUAUGAAGAAGGCCUUCGGGUUGUAAAGUACUUUCAGUCGUGAGGAAGGGGGUAAGCUUAAUACGCUUAUCUCUUGACGUUAGCGACAGAAGAAGCACCGGCUAACUCCGUGCCAGCAGCCGCGGUAAUACGGAGGGUGCGAGCGUUAAUCGGAAUUACUGGGCGUAAAGCGCAUGCAGGUGGUUCAAUAAGUCAGAUGUGAAAGCCCGGGGCUCAACCUCGGAACUGCAUUUGAAACUGUUGGACUAGAGUACUGUAGAGGGGGGUAGAAUUUCAGGUGUAGCGGUGAAAUGCGUAGAGAUCUGAAGGAAUACCAGUGGCGAAGGCGGCCCCCUGGACAGAUACUGACACUCAGAUGCGAAAGCGUGGGGAGCAAACAGGAUUAGAUACCCUGGUAGUCCACGCCGUAAACGAUGUCUACUUGGAGGUUGUGGCCUUGAGCCGUGGCUUUCGGAGCUAACGCGUUAAGUAGACCGCCUGGGGAGUACGGUCGCAAGAUUAAAACUCAAAUGAAUUGACGGGG